rnacentral:snRNA from 1 species
GGAUGUGAGGGCAAUCUAGUAUGACAUCUGUCAGCCCAUUGAUUGCCAGGGUUUAUUUGGCUGAUCUGGCUAGCAAGACAGGUGUCCCACUCUUCCCUCACUGCUCCAUGUGCAUCCCUCCAGAAGUUACAUGUUCAGUCAAAGAAGACAGCUUUCUCCAAUAAAGGAAGACUGUCCUUCAGUUAAGGAUAUAUAAGUAGCUGUGCUCCCUUGGUAAAAAUCUCAAACAAGUUCUCAGGGUCCAUUUGUGGGAGAAUGUAAGAUAGUCAAGCUUCCAAGACUCCAGACACAUCCAAAUGAGGCACUGCAUGUGGCAGCCUACCUUAAAAA